GAUGAACGCUGGCGGCGUGCUUAACACAUGCAAGUCGAACGGAAAGGCUCCUGCUUGCCGGGGUACUCGAGUGGCGAACGGGUGAGUAACACGUGGGUGAUCUGCCCUGCACUUCGGGAGAAGCCUGGGAAACUGGGUCUAAUACCGGAGAGGACGAUGGUUUGGAUGCCAUUGUGGAAAGUUUUUCGGUGUGGGAUGAGCUCGCGGCCUAUCAGCUUGUUGGUGGGGUAAUGGCCUACCAAGGCGUCGACGGGUAGCCGGCCUGAGAGGGUGUACGGCCACAUUGGGACUGAGAGACGCCCCAGACUCCUACGGGAGGCAGCAGUGGGGAAUAUUGCACAAUGGGCGCAAGCCUGAUGCAGCGACGCCGCGUGGGGGAUGACGGCCUUCGGGUUGUAAACUCCUUUCGCUAGGGACGAAGCGCAAGUGACGGUACCUGGAGAAGAAGCACCGGCUAACUACGUG
rnacentral:rRNA from 1 species